UUCUUAGCUUAGUAGUAACCGUGCAUAAAGGUGAAAAUACCCAGAGAGUUAAGAAGGAAUGUGCAACCAUCCGUCUGUAAAGGCGGUAAAUUGAUGGCUGGCCUGAUAUAAGGCUGGCGCACCGUAUCGGUGUCCCUGAGCAGACCGGCGGGACGAUUCUUUCAUGGCGGGGCCUGUGCAUACCCCGUUUCAUCACCGGUUUGCAAACCUGAUUAGAGCGCACACUAUAAGUAGCAGGAAGGGCGUAGAUUCUUUGAACAAUCGGC
rnacentral:ncRNA from 1 species